CCUUGGACUUGUGAGGUGCCCUCUUUGCUUGAGAGGCCACUCUGUCCAUACACCCUGGGGUGUGGUAACUGAGGGGUGUCCCCAGUCAUGUUGGGAGGAAAGCAGACAGACCACAGAGUUCUGUACUGGACACAGUCUGUACAGUGCCUGACUCACAGCACUGGAGGAUUGUCCAUCCUUGUUCCCAGAGAGGGGCUAGGCCAGCCAAACCCCUCACUUCAUACUCUGACAAUGGAUCGAAGGGGCCUGGAGCAAACUGCAAUACCCCUGUCCGUGGACAUCUCCAUGUUCUGUGAGGAACCCGGUAUGAACAUGGAUGUCACAGUGAGCUCCAGGCCUUCGACUUUUGGCUGGGUCCUCCAGCGCUUCAGCAUGCACACAGACCUUUCCCAUUCUUCCACCGCUGACUCUACAGGUGGCCAUUACUCGGGACUCACCGCGGACAAGCCUGGGAACUCCCCCUGGCGCAACAGCUAAAUGGCAAGCAGAUGGCUGGCAUGCCAGAGACCUCCAUCCCCGCGGUUUCCGGAUGGGAAGACUGGGAGCUGGGUCGUGGCAUCCUCUGCUGAAAUGAGCGAGUUUCGAAAGCAGGAGUCCCCUUUCAGCAGGCGGGGAUGCGAAGAGCCAGACUAGAGUCCAGAAAGGGAAGCCCCCGCCACGGAAGGUUGUGGGCGCUAAGAGGCGCUAACCUGUCACCCACUUCAGAGGAAAGGCGUCCUUCGCCCGCCCUUCGCCGGUGAGACGCGGACGCCGCCUUCUCCAGCCCAGCUUCUCAAGCUCCAGAAAGACUCCAGGACUCCCCUUGUUUCCAAGCUCUCCAUCGCUGC
ensembl:lncRNA